CGUAAACGAUGUCGACUUGGAGGUUGUGCCCUUGAGGCGUGGCUUCCGGAGCUAACGCGUUAAGUCGACCGCCUGGGGAGUACGGCCGCAAGGUUAAAACUCAAAUGAAUUGACGGGGGCCCGCACAAGCGGUGGAGCAUGUGGUUUAAUUCGAUGCAACGCGAAGAACCUUACCUGGUCUUGACAUCCACGGAAGUUUUCAGAGAUGAGAAUGUGCCUUCGGGAACCGUGAGACAGGUGCUGCAUGGCUGUCGUCAGCUCGUGUUGUGAAAUGUUGGGUUAAGUCCCGCAACGAGCGCAACCCUUAUCCUUUGUUGCCAGCGGUCCGGCCGGGAACUCAAAGGAGACUGCCAGUGAUAAACUGGAGGAAGGUGGGGAUGACGUCAAGUCAUCAUGGCCCUUACGACCAGAGCUACACACGUGCUACAAUGGCGCAUACAAAGAGAAGCGACCUCGCGAGAGCAAGCGGACCUCAUAAAGUGCGUCGUAGUCCGGAUUGGAGUCUGCAACUCGACUCCAUGAAGUCGGAAUCGCUAGUAAUCGUGGAUCAGAAUGCCACG
rnacentral:rRNA from 1 species